UUUGGAAAGUACGGAGAUUUUUAUAUUUAUAAAUUAUUGUUUAUAAUAAGAUAUUUGAUUCGUCGACGAACGGCUGCGUUAAGUAUGAUCUAUGCAAUUAGAACAAUUCAAAAUCAAAUUUUAUAAUUUUUCGACAUCAUUUACUAAGGGAUCAAAGUAUUCCAAAAAUAACUAUUUUAAUUAAAGGCAGGUGUGGUACGUUUAUAAGUUCUAUAGUGUAGAAGAAUUCAAAUAAUAUGAAAGUUUAAUAAAAAAUUAUACGUAACAUCAAGAGCGAGAAUGAAUACUUCUGAUUUGAAAUUUGAGUCUUUUAUCACUAUUUUUUUAUGAGAUUUCUAUUUUUAACUGUUCAUCUUGAGACUACUAAUUCACUAGGCAAACGAAAUCAAAAUAUUAUAAAAUUUGGUUUCUAAAUGAUUUUAAUAAGGUAGAUUAUGCCUAACGAAACUAAUCGUCGAAUUAAAUAUCUACUAAUCAAAAAUAACUUAUAAAUACGGAGAACUCUGUA
rnacentral:lncRNA from 1 species